GACGAACGCUGGCGGCGUGCUUAACACAUGCAAGUCGAACGAUGAACCCGGAGCUUGCUCCGGCGGAUUAGUGGCGAACGGGUGAGUAACACGUGAGUAACCUGCCCUUGACUCUGGGAUAACUGCGGGAAACUGUAGCUAAUACCGGAUACAACCCUCGGCGGCAUCGCCAGGGGGUGGAAAGAAUUUCGGUCAAGGAUGGACUCGCGGCCUAUCAGCUAGUUGGCGAGGUAACGGCUCACCAAGGCGACGACGGGUAGCCGGCCUGAGAGGGUGACCGGCCACACUGGGACUGAGACACGGCCCAGACUCCUACGGGAGGCAGCAGUGGGGAAUAUUGCACAAUGGGCGAAAGCCUGAUGCAGCAACGCCGCGUGAGGGAUGAAGGCCUUCGGGUUGUAAACCUCUUUUAGCAGGGAAGAAGCGAAAGUGACGGUACCUGCAGAAAAAGCACCGGCUAACUACGUGCCAGCCGCCGCAGUAA
rnacentral:rRNA from 1 species